GACCGCUUUUUGGCCUAGAGGUUAGAGAGACCGCCUCGGAUGCGGCAUGUCGCGGGUUUGAACCCCGGCUGAGUCA